UACGUAGGGCGCAAGCGUUAUCCGGAAUUAUUGGGCGUAAAGAGCUCGUAGGCGGUUCGUCGCGUCGGCUGUGAAAGCCCGGAGCUCAACCCCGGGCCUGCAGCCGAUACGGGCAAACUAGAAUUCGGUAGGGGAGACUGGAAUUCCUGGUGUAGCGGUGAAAUGCGCAGAUAUCAGGAGGAACACCGGUGGCGAAGGCGGGUCUCUGGGCAGUUACUGACGCUGGAGGAGCGAAAGCAUGGGGAGCGAACAGG
rnacentral:rRNA from 1 species